rnacentral:rRNA from 1 species
AGAGUUUGAUCCUGGCUCAGGAUGAACGCUAGCUACAGGCUUAACACAUGCAAGUCGAGGGGCAGCAUCGCGAUAGCUUGCUAUUGCGGAUGGCGACCGGCGCACGGGUGAGUAACGCGUAUCCAACCUUCCCGCAACUGGGGAAUAACCUUGCGAAAGUAAGACUAAUACCCCAUGGUCUCCACGGAUGGCAUCUGAAAUGGAGUAAAGGUUUCGGCCGGUUGCGGAUGGGGAUGCGUCCGAUUAGCUUGACGGCGGGGUAACGGCCCACCGUGGCAUCGAUCGGUAGGGGUUCUGAGAGGAAGGUCCCCCACAUUGGAACUGAGACACGGUCCAAACUCCUACGGGAGGCAGCAGUGAGGAAUAUUGGUCAAUGGGCGGAAGCCUGAACCAGCCAAGUAGCGUGAAGGAUGACUGCCCUAUGGGUUGUAAACUUCUUUUAUGCGGGGAUAAAGUUCGCCACGUGUGGCGUUUUGCAGGUACCGCAUGAAUAAGGACCGGCUAAUUCCGUGCCAGCAGCCGCGGUAAUACGGAAGGUCCAGGCGUUAUCCGGAUUCAUUGGGUUUAAAGGGAGCGUAGGCCGCCUUUUAAGCGUGUUGUGAAAUGUAGGGGCUCAACCCCUGCACUGCAGCGCGAACUGGAGGGCUUGAGUACACACAAAGUAGGCGGAAUUCAUGGUGUAGCGGUGAAAUGCUUAGAUAUCAUGAAGAACCCCGAUUGCGAAGGCAGCUUACUGGAGUGUAACUGACGCUGAAGCUCGAAAGCGCGGGUAUCGAACAGGAUUAGAUACCCUGGUAGUCCGCGCGGUAAACGAUGGAUGCCCGCUGUUUGCCACUUUGGUAAGCGGCCAAGCGAAAGCGUUAAGCAUCCCACCUGGGGAGUACGCCGGCAACGGUGAAACUCAAAGGAAUUGAC